ACGGUUGUUACUCAGGGUGUGGUGCUAAUGAGAGACAGUGUGGUAGACCAUACAGGUUGUUACUCAGGGUGUGGUGCUAAUGAGAGACAGUGUGGUAGACCAUACAGGUUGUUACUCAGGUGUGGUGCUAAUGAGAGACAGUGUGGUAGACCAUACAGGUUGUUACUCCAGGGUGUGGUGUGCUGUGGUCAAUGUCAGGGUGUGGUGUGCCGUGGUCAAUGAAAAACAGAUGUAAAACCAGCAAACAACUGGAAAACUGGACAAGCUUUUUUCAACUACAGUAGGUAUAAUGAA
rnacentral:lncRNA from 1 species